UGUAAUUUUACAGUAUGUAUAUGGGAAGAGGUAGUGCAGUUGCUGCAUUGAUGAUGGUUCUUUGCUUGGUGGUGCUUCAGUAUGAAGUGGCUCAAGCUGCAACCUACACAGUCGGAGGAGUCGGUGGCUGGACCUUUAACACGGUUCGCUGGCCCGACGGAAAGCGUUUUAGGGCCGGUGAUGUACUAGGUAAGUGCAUGCAAGUAGUAGUGUGUAAAAUUUAUCCCUCUAGCUAGAUUGACUAAUUAUAUAUAUAUACAGACUUACGUACCGUUGUUUGUUGGCUGUUGCAGUCUUCAAAUACGACCCAACAAUACACAAUGUGGUUAUUGUAGACAAAGGUGCUUACCGCAGUUGCAGCACCCCAAGCGGCGCUAAAGUGUUGCAAAGUGGAAAUGAUCAGAUCAAGCUUGCAAAAGGACAGAACUUCUUCAUCUGCAAUUUUCCAGGACAUUGCGAAUCUGGAAUGAAGAUAGCCGUAU
rnacentral:lncRNA from 1 species